AUGAACGCUGCCAGAAUGCUUAACACAUGCAAGUCGAUGGGGAAGUGGUGCUUGCACCAUGGUAACCAUGGCGGACGGGUGAGUAACGCGUAAGGAACUUGCCUGCGGGACUGGGAUAACAGCAGGAAACUGCUGAUAAUACCGGAUAAGGUCAUUAAGCUGCAUAGCUUAGUGAUGAAAGGAGACGCCUGCGGAGAGCCUUGCGUCCUAUUAGCUAGUUGGAGGGGUAACGGCCCACCAAGGCGAAGAUAGGUAGCCGGCCUGAGAGGGUGGACGGCCACAAGGGGACUGAGAUACGGCCCUUACUCCUACGGGAGGCAGCAGUGGGGAAUAUUGGACAAUGGGGGCAACCCUGAUCCAGCAAUUCUGUGUGCACGAAGACGGUUUUCGGAUUGUAAGGUGCUUUCAGCAGGGAAGAAGGAAGUGACGGUACCUGCAGAAGAAGCGACGGCUAAAUACGUG
rnacentral:rRNA from 1 species